rnacentral:lncRNA from 1 species
UUUUAGAGAGAGAGAGAGAGAGAAUGAAUGGGGGGCAGGAGCAGAUGGAGAGGGAGAAAGAAAAAAUCUCAAGAAGACUCUAGGCCCAGCAUGGAACCUGAGAUUAUGACCUGAGCCAAAAACAAGAGUCAGAUGCUUAACUGACUGAGCCCCUCGGGCAUCCCUAACCAGCUUACUUUCAUAUUGUGCACUUUGUUUCAAAGCAUCUAAGUUCCUAUGAAGAGGAAAUUUGUUGGUUGUGUUCAAUCUGUUCCUCCAGUAUCUAGAACAAUGUUUGGCACAGAGUAGGUGCUUGGUAAAUGUUUACUGAGUAACUAUGUGACAGGCAUCAGGGCUCUUAAGCAUCACAGAAGUUUUAGUGGAGACACUGCCUCACCACUGGACAUUCCCUGUCCAAAUCCUUAGGGGGUGACUUGAAGGCCAACAGUUUGGUCACUUUUGUGCCAAGCUGGAGCAAAGAAUCCUUUCAAAGCCAAGUCCUAGCACUUGGAUCCAGUCCCCCUAUCGGUGUCACAUUAACCACCUCUCACUGAGACCCUAGCACUGUGACCAGAUGGUUUUUGGGAACAGUUGCUGGUCUCCAUUUCUUAUGGGUCCAUAGAUGUCUAUUCCUCAUUUCAGAGAAAAUCUUACUACUCUAGCCACUUCUGCUUCUCACUGUACAAGCCUUAAGUGCAGAUCAUCCCCUGGCUCCUAAUUUCAGAGUUUUAGAAGAUUAAAUCUUCCUUUACCUAUGCCCUGGGAAUCAAGGAGGAAGGGGACAGAAGCUGUUCUCUUUUUUUCCUGAUGCUUCUACGCCAGUGAAAUCAAACAGAAAUUAAUCUUACAAUAAAUUACCCUGCCUUAGCCAUGGACAUUAUCACUAAGGUUUCAAGGAAACAUCCUUACAUCCUUGUUGUUGGAUAACAGAGGCUGAAACAAAUCUUUGCUAAGGGAGGCUGGAAGUUGACGCAAAACUUUGUCAAUGGUUUAGGGGCCAGAAAGGAGAGUCAGUGCAAGAGAAUUAUGGAAGCCAGACCACCUGGAUCACAGGCCAGGUUCACUCACCCUAUAUUUAUAAUCAUCUUCAGGGCAUCUCUCUGCUUUAGCCUCCACUGUAGCUCCCUGCACCUAAGUAAAAAAGGCCCAGAAAAUCAAGCUGUGGAGUUUUCUGUUUCUUAGGUAAAGGGAUAAAUGUUUACUGAAUAUGAUAGGUACCUGGAUUUUCUGUAGUAAAAAGAUUCAGGGAGUAUAUUAUUCUCACUGCAGUGACAAUCACUGUCAAAGCCUCAGAAGGUUCCUUGAAAGCCAGCAGUUUGGUCACUCAUUUCUCAAAAAAAGGGACUGUACAACCAGUUCAGGGAAGAACCCUGUAUUAGUUAUCCGUUGUUGUGUAACAAGUUAUCCCCAAACUCAGCAGUUUAAAGAGCUACAAACAUCUAUUAUCUCACAUUUUCCAUAUAUCAGAAAUUUGGAAGCAGCUCAGCUAGGUGGUUCUGGGCAGGACCUUCUCCUAUAUGGUUAGAUCCAAGAUGUUGACUGGGGCUGCAGUCAUCUGAAGGCUGGAUGGGGGCUGGAAGGCAUGACUCCUAGGUGGUCCACACAUAAGGCUUAUGGCAAGAGGACUCAGCUC